rnacentral:rRNA from 1 species
GGAAAAGGGACCAACUGGGAUUACCUUAGUAACGGCGAGUGAAGCGGUAAAAGCUCAAAUUUGAAAUCUGGUACUUUCAGUGCCCGAGUUGUAAUUUGUAGAAUUUGUCUUUGAUUAGGUCCUUGUCUAUGUUCCUUGGAACAGGACGUCAUAGAGGGUGAGAAUCCCGUUUGGCGAGGAUACCUUUUCUCUGUAAGACUUUUUCGAAGAGUCGAGUUGUUUGGGAAUGCAGCUCAAAGUGGGUGGUAAAUUCCAUCUAAAGCUAAAUAUUGGCGAGAGACCGAUAGCGAACAAGUACAGUGAUGGAAAGAUGAAAAGAACUUUGAAAAGAGAGUGAAAAAGUACGUGAAAUUGUUGAAAGGGAAGGGCAUUUGAUCAGACAUGGUGUUUUUUGCAUGCACUCGCCUCUCGUGGGCUUGGGCCUCUCAAAAAUUUCACUGGGCCAACAUCAAUUCUGGCAGUAGGAUAAAUCAUUAAGAAUGUAGCUACCUCGGUAGUGUUAUAGCUUAUUGGAAUACUGCUAGCUGGGAUUGAGGACUGCGCUUCGGCAAGGAUGUUGGCAUAAUGGUUAAAUGCCGCCCGU